CAGAUGGAAGACAUUUUACUGUCUCUGGCUGUCAGAUGUCAGUCAUUUGAAGGUUGAAAGUUUCAGUUUCUUGAUGGAGACAAUACUCAGAUCCUGAGGCCACCGGCAGCUCCUUGCCAUGCGACCGAUAAAAUGAUUUGCCAUGGCUAGGACGUUCAGUACCAUGUUGAAUACAAAUGGUGAGAGUGGGCACCCUCGUCUUAUUCCUGAUCUUGGAGGAAAAGCUUUUCACUGUUGAAAAUGAUGCUGGCUAUGGAUUUGUCAUAUAUGGUCUUUAGUACACUGAGUUACAUUUCUUUUACGCCUAACUUGUUGAGGGAUUUUUUUAAUUAUAAAUGAAUGUUUGAUUUUGUCAGAUACUUCUUCUGCAUCUAUUGAAAUGAUCAUAUGAUUUUUAACCUCCAUUUUGUUAACAUGGUGUAUCACAUUGAUUGGUUGAUUUGUGGACACUGAACCA